rnacentral:lncRNA from 1 species
GGCGGACUGCACCCACUGGCACAUACCGAGCUGGGCCAAUACUAGUAUUUGGCACAAGUAGAUGUCAACUGGAUCCAAUUUUCAGAAUAUGUUAAUUAGAAAGGAUUUCUUUAAAAAAAAAAGCUUGAGCUUAUAGAAAGGCACAUCUGCUGAUACUGCAUGGCACAACAUGUCCUGUGAGUGACUGGCACCAAUACUGGAAUUGAUGCCUAAAUCUUUUGAGGAAAAAAUGCAUUAUUACAUUCAACAUACAGAGGUUUAAUCAAGAAAACUUCUAAGCAUUUCAUUGAAUUCUGAAUUCAACUCAUGACUUGCCACAAAGACCUCAAAGCAACCUUAAACUCAAUCCAAAUAAAAUUAAUACUUUCCUGACCUAACAUAUUAUCGAACUAAGACUUCUUUAGACAUUAAGGCUCAAAAUAGGACUAAGUUCACACAAUAUAGAACUCCUCAUCUCGUCUUAGACUCACAUAACAAUGUAAAAUGCCUCAUGACUUAAAAUAUAUUUCAUGGAGAACCCAAUAAGAUUCUAAAUAGAAUUUAAAGAUCCAUA